AUGUAUAUUAUAUAAUCACUGUGUUGAACGUGUUAAACGCGUUAAGCCCGUGUCUCCACCCCCAUGGUUGGUUCAAGAAUUGUUUUAAUCGUUUAAUUUUUGGUGCAUUACUUUUCUCACUUUUGGCGCAAAAUCACCUUAACAUAACAUAGCACAUAAAGCGAGAGGGAGUGGGAGAAGAAGGUCAAGAGAAUGGGAGAGUGCAAGCCAUGUAUAUUUGCAGUUGACAGAUCGUAUUUUAACUCUAUCAUGAAAUGUGUAUCGUAUAGAAGAUGACAUCCGAUCCCGUAAAGUAUAAAUAUACUUCAUAUUCUUGAUCAGUAUCAGCAUCAGAGUUGGUGGGAACUUGAAUACAUGUUAAUACACAUUUAGUAAACUGAUUUUUACUAUACAGCCUUCUGGAAAUUGUCAGGCUACUAUGUAUAUGCAGGAACUGAGCUGGAAUGAAUUCGAUGGAGCUGACAACUUACACAAAUGAUGAAGGAUGUGAAAACUUUCUGGACUAAAAACUAAUUUGUUUAACAACUCAACAACUUUUGUCCGAAAAUAAAACAGAUCUCGAGAAAUUGCCACCUGGGCUCGCAGGUGUAAUGGCGACCAUAGAGAGCCAAGUCGGAUCAUUCACCAACCGAUACAAUGAACGCUUGCAACGACACUGUAACCGGCUUGCAAAAAGACUUGUUGAAAGGCGUUUUAUCAAGAGAAAAUCGUUUAUGGACCUCAUCCAACCACGACAGAGGGGAUGCCCCAGAGCCUGCCGACAACAUUCGUGACGAUGGAUGGUUACAAAUGUCGCUUUUGAAACUGUUGUCGACUAGUAAGCCUGAAGACCCUACCAAACAACACUUGAGAAGAUUGCGAAACAACACUUAAGCUAUCUGUAUUGUCAUGAAAAUGUAUGCUUUUUUUUAAUAUAAUAUAAACAAAUUAACUAAAAAAAAAGAAAAAAAUAAAUAAAAAAAGAAACAUUA